rnacentral:rRNA from 1 species
CGUACACUCCUACGGGAGGCAGCAGUGGGGAAUAUUGGACAAUGGGCGCAAGCCUGAUCCAGCCAUGCCGCGUGAGUGAUGAAGGCCCUAGGGUUGUAAAGCUCUUUCACCGGAGAAGAUAAUGACGGUAUCCGGAGAAGAAGCCCCGGCUAACUUCGUGCCAGCAGCCGCGGUAAUACGAAGGGGGCUAGCGUUGUUCGGAAUUACUGGGCGUAAAGCGCACGUAGGCGGAUCGAUCAGUCAGGGGUGAAAUCCCAGGGCUCAACCCUGGAACUGCCUUUGAUACUGUCGAUCUGGAGUAUGGAAGAGGUGAGUGGAAUUCCGAGUGUAGAGGUGAAAUUCGUAGAUAUUCGGAGGAACACCAGUGGCGAAGGCGGCUCACUGGUCCAUUACUGACGCUGAGGUGCGAAAGCGUGGGGAGCAAACAGGAUUAGAAACCCUGGUAGUCCCAUG